CCCAUCCCCCCUCCCGUCUCCGCCGAGCGCCCCCAAAGUCAAAGAAAACCACGCUGCAACUUGCUAACGAAUUCCAUUGCGUGUGCUUCCCGUCCUCCCAUCCCCUCCCCCCACCACCUCCGCUCCUCCGCCCACGCCAAUCCUCCUAAAUCCACCGCCGCCGAUCCGCCGUGAUGGACCGCAGCAGCAGCAGCAAUAGCGGCGGCGGCGGCGGACACAACCCGCACCUCGGCGUCAACAAGCACGGCCGGAACAUCCGCAAAGCAACGCCGCCGCCGCCUCCUCAGCAGCCGCCCC
rnacentral:rRNA from 1 species